rnacentral:rRNA from 1 species
ACGGAAGGCAGCAGUGGGGAAUAUUGCACAAUGGGGGAAACCCUGAUGCAGCGACGCCGCGUGAGUGAAGAAGUAUUUCGGUAUGUAAAGCUCUAUCAGCAGGAAAGAAAAUGACGGUACCUGACUAAGAAGCCCCGGCUAACUACGUGCCAGCAGCCGCGGUAAUACGUAGGGGGCAAGCGUUAUCCGGAUUUACUGGGUGUAAAGGGAGCGUAGACGGCUUUGCAAGUCUGAAGUGAAAGCCCGGGGCUCAGCCCCGGAACUGCUUUGGAAACUGUAGAGCUAGAGUGCAGGAGAGGUAAGUGGAAUUCCUAGUGUAGCGGUGAAAUGCGUAGAUAUUAGGAGGAACACCAGUGGCGAAGGCGGCUUACUGGACUGUAACUGACGUUGAGGCUCGAAGGCGUGGGGAGCAAACAGGAUUAGAUACCCUGGUA